rnacentral:rRNA from 1 species
GGGCCCGCACAAGCGGCGGAGCAUGCGGAUUAAUUCGAUGCAACGCGAAGAACCUUACCUGGGUUUGACAUGGGCGCUAAAGCCGCAGAGAUGUGGUGUCCUUCGGGGGCGUUCACAGGUGGUGCAUGGCUGUCGUCAGCUCGUGUCGUGAGAUGUUGGGUUAAGUCCCGCAACGAGCGCAACCCUCGUUCCAUGUUGCCAGCGGGUUAUGCCGGGGACUCAUGGGAGACUGCCGGGGUCAACUCGGAGGAAGGUGGGGAUGACGUCAAGUCAUCAUGCCCCUUAUGUCCAGGGCUUCACGCAUGCUACAAUGGCCGGUACAAAGGGCUGCGAUACCGUGAGGUGGAGCGAAUCCCAAAAAGCCGGUCUCAGUUCGGAUCGGGGUCUGCAACUCGACCCCGUGAAGUCGGAGUCGCUAGUAAUCGCAGAUCAGCAUUGCUGCGGUGAAUACGUUCCCGGGCCUU